GAUCGAACUUCGAUCCCCCUGCCAAAAUCGCGCCCUAAUCGGGGGCGCUAACCAACCCUAUCGCUCGUGGGGCCCUCCUGUGUAGUGCUAAAAUAGAGAGGAGAGGCGCCGGGGUCACGACUGACGAAAUUCGCCGCUGCCCGCUCGCGCUCCCCACAAACCCUAGACGAGGAAAUCUCUGAUCAGAACGUACGCUAAGACAGGGGGAAUGACCCCGCACCGCCGUGGUCGCUGUCAUCCACAACUCCGUCGCCAUCAUCGCCAUCCUCGUCGGCGCGAGGAUCAUCACCAGGAGAGACGGGAUUGUCACCGACCUCUCCAUCCCUGUCGUCUUAUCGGAUCAAAUCCCGAAGCCAGAAGUGUGCGGUGAAUUACCUACGCCGGUCAAAGGAGUCUCUAUUCGUAAAGGCGAAGAUGUUGGUGGAGGACCUGACCAGCUGCAGAUUCGUGAUCUUGUCGUCUGCGGCGGCGGCGGACGGGAGGUCCUUGAAGGUGAGGUCCACCGAUUCGUCGGGCACACCCAGACCCAGCAGUUCAUAUAUAUCGAUCGAUCCGUCGGAUGCAUGCAGAUGCAGUUCUCGGCCUCAAACUUAUCAAUCCAUCGCUAUCGACCACGACAGUUAAUGCUGACUCUAUCAACUUAACCCUGCAGUUUGGUAGGGAGCUAUAUAAUAACCUUACUCUUGUAUAAUAACAUUAAUUACUUUUGUUGGCUGAAAGGGGUUUUGCGUUAUCAGUCUAACGAGUACAAAAUAUGAGGAGGAAUUAAAUCCUAAUCUAAUCUACAGAUAUAACAGUGUAAAACUCAUGCAUGUUUUUUUGGCGACUAGAUAUUGCGGGAGUUCUCU